GACGAACGCUGGCGGCGUGCCUAAUACAUGCAAGUAGGACGCAGUUGCGAACGGGUGAGUAACGCGUAGGUAACUACCUAUUAGAGGGGGAUAACUAUUGGAAACGAUAGCUAAUACCGCAUACUAGUAGAUGGACCUGCGUUGUAUUAGCUAGUAGGUAGGGUAAUGGCCUACCUAGGCAACGAUACAUAGCCGACCUGGAGAGGUGGACGGCCACAAUGGGACUGGGACACGGCCCAGACUCCUCAGGGAGGCAGCCGUAGGGAAUUUUCGGCAAUGGGGGGAACCCUGACCGAGCAACGCCGCGUGAGUGAAGAAGGUUUUCGGGUCGUAAAGCUCUGUUGUUAAGGAAGCGGUACUUAACCAGAAAGGGACGGCUAACUACGUGCCAGCAGCCGCGGUAAUAC
rnacentral:rRNA from 1 species